GCCCCUGAUGUUAAAAUGUCAAGAUGGCUAUUCUUCUUUUUUUUACAGUAAAAGAGCGGCAGGUUUCCUUUUUAAUUCACUAUUUACCCAACAAAAAUAAAUGGCUUUCGUGCUCGUCAAAGAUGUUUGGAAAUUCCGUACAUAUUGGCUAGCACGCUAUGUAGUGUUUCGUCACAUAAUUUACCCUUUCAACAGGUCACGCAAAAUGGCCAAUGACAUUCAUGCGUUGACGGAUCAUCGUGGGAAAAGAAAAUGGCAUCUUCAACCCCGUAUGACGGUGCUGGGGUUGUAGGAGCGUGUUAAUCGGGUCAAAGUGCGCAAUGAGUAAUACAAAGGGAAGCGGGCAGGGCGGUCAGAGGUAGAAGCAAUAGAAGGCACCGGACAUUUCCUUCAUGGGGCUAGUGCAACGUCCCCGUCCCCUUUAAAGAUACUAGAUUUUCAGGAUAGACCCCUUUCUACCAGACAAACAAGAAGAACAAGGAAAUUCUGGUGGGAGAGGGGCUGCUCUUAUCAAGAUAUAGAUGGGCUUAUUGGUUACCGGACGCGGCGAGGACAUGUUUCACUGUACAAUAGAGUGUGACAGUGAAAUUAUUAAUAAAAAGAUAAAGCUUGA